rnacentral:rRNA from 1 species
GACGAACGCUGGCGGCGUGCUUAACACAUGCCAGUCGAACGGAAAGGCCCUGCUUUUGUGGGGUGCUCGAGUGGCGAACGGGUGAGUAACACGUGAGUAACCUGCCCUUGACUUUGGGAUAACUUCAGGAAACUGGGGCUAAUACCGGAUAGGAGCUCCUGCUGCAUGGUGGGGGUUGGAAAGUUUCGGCGGUUGGGGAUGGACUCGCGGCUUAUCAGCUUGUUGGUGGGGUAGUGGCUUACCAAGGCUUUGACGGGUAGCCGGCCUGAGAGGGUGACCGGCCACAUUGGGACUGAGAGACGGCCCAGACUGCUACGGGAGGCAGCAGUGGGGAAUAUUGCACAAUGGGCGGAAGCCUGAUGCAGCAACGCCGCGUGCGGGAUGACGGCCUUCGGGUUGUAAACCGCUUUCGCCUGUGACGAAGCGUGAGUGACGGUAAUGGGUAAAGAAGCACCGGCUAACUACGUG